rnacentral:rRNA from 1 species
CAGCAGCAGCCGCGGGAAUACGAAGGGUGCAAGCGUUAAUCGGAAUUACUGGGCGUAAAGCGUGCGUAGGCGGUUUGUUAAGUCUGUUGUGAAAUCCCCGGGCUCAACCUGGGAAUGGCAGUGGAUACUGGCUCGCUAGAGUGUGUCAGAGGAUGGUGGAAUUCCCGGUGUAGCGGUGAAAUGCGUAGAGAUCGGGAGGAACAUCAGUGGCGAAGGCGGCCAUCUGGGACAACACUGACGCUGAGGCACGAAAGCGUGGGGAGCAAACAGGAUUAGAUACCCGGGUAGUCCCUGUCUCUUAUAC